rnacentral:lncRNA from 1 species
GAACAUGAGAAUGUCGAAAGACUCCUUCACAUGUUUACCUAUUAGCGCAGAUAUGAGCAACAAGUUCAUUCCAUCAGGUUAAUUUCAGCCACACUUGCGUUAGGGUAUCGUUGCCUCUUAGUAUAGGGUAGAUGAUACGACCCGUCGCACGCAGACUACCUCCAGAUAGGUAAGUGAAGUUGAUAGAUUUGGGUAUAGCAGGCUAGAAUUCGACGGAUGAUUCGAUUUGAAUGUCACGGGAAAGACACUACUGAUCUCACAGGAAUCGUCAGUCGGCCCCGGCGGUAGGAAAAAAGCACGCCUAUAGUAUCAUGCCCUGUGAUUUUUAGAAAGAAAGAAAUCGAAUAUGA